CAGCCGCCGCGGUAAUACCGGCGGCCCGAGUGGCGGCCACUAUUAUUGGGCUUAAAGCGUCCGUAGCCGGGUUGGUUAGUCUCCCGGGAAAUCUGGCCGCUUAACGGUCAGAAUUCCGGGAGAUACUGCCAGCCUAGGGACCGGGAGAGGCCGAGGGGAUUCCCGGAGUAGGGGUGAAAUCCUAUAAUCCCGGGAGGACCACCUGUGGCGAAGGCGCUCGGCUGGAACGGGUCCGACGGUGAGGGACGAAGGCCAGGGGAGCAAACCGGAUUAGAUACCCGGGUAGUCCUGGCUGUAAACGAUGCGGACUUUGUGUCGGACAAGCUAUGAGCUUGUCCGGUGCCGGAGGGAAACCGUUAAGUCCGCCGCCUGGGGAGUACGGCCGCAAGGCUGAAACUUAAAGGAAUUGGCGGG
rnacentral:rRNA from 1 species